rnacentral:rRNA from 1 species
UACGGGGGGAGCAAGCGUUGUUCGGAUUUACUGGGCGUAAAGGGCGCGUAGGCGGCCAGCACAAGUCAGUUGUGAAAUCUCCGAGCUUAACUCGGAAAGGUCAACUGAUACUGUGCGGCUAGAGUGCAGAAGGGGCAACUGGAAUUCUCGGUGUAGCGGUGAAAUGCGUAGAUAUCGAGAGGAACACCUGCGGCGAAGGCGGGUUGCUGGGCUGACACUGACGCUGAUGCGCGAAAGCCAGGGGAGCGAACGGG